UACGUAGGGUCCGAGCGUUGUCCGGAAUUACUGGGCGUAAAGAGCUCGUAGGUGGUUUGUCGCGUUGUUCGUGAAAACUCACAACUCAAUUGUGGGCGUGCGGGCGAUACGGGCAGACUUGAGUACUGCAGGGGAGACUGGAAUUCCUGGUGUAGCGGUGGAAUGCGCAGAUAUCAGGAGGAACACCGGUGGCGAAGGCGGGUCUCUGGGCCGAUACUGACGCUGAGGAGCGAAAGCGUGGGGAGCGAACAGG
rnacentral:rRNA from 1 species